rnacentral:rRNA from 1 species
GAUUUUCGCAAUGCCCGAAAGGGUCUGACCUAUCCCUGGAGGAAGCACGGGCUAAGUUCGUGCCAGCAGCCGCGGUAAGACGAACCGUGCGAACGUUGUUCGGAAUCACUGGGCUUAAAGGGCGCGUAGGCGGGCCGCAAAGUCAGGGGUGAAAUCCUCCAGCUCAACUGGAGAACUGCCUUUGAUACUGGCGGCCUGGAGUAAGGUAGGGGCAUGCGGAACUGAUGGUGGAGCGGUGAAAUGUGUUGAUAUCAUCAGGAACUCCAGUGGCGAAAGCGGCGUGCUGGACCUUUACUGACGCUGAGGCGCGAAAGCCAGGGGAGCAAACGGGAUUAGAUACCCCGGUAGUCCUGGCCCUAAACGAUGGGCACUAAGUAGAGGGGUUUU